UGCGGGAAUCUUGCACAAUGGAGGAAACUCUGAUGCAGCGACGCCGCGUGAGCGAUGAAGNCCUUCGGGGUGUAAAGCUCUUUCGCCGGGGACGAUAAUGACGGUACCNGAAGAAGAAGCUGCGGCUAACUACGUGCCAGCAGCCGCGGUAAUACGUAGGCAGCAAGCGUUGUUCGRAAUUACUGGGCGUAAAGAGUGUGUAGGCGGUGCUCUAAGUUCGGUGUGAAAUCUCCCGGCUUACCUGGGAGGGUGGCGCCGGAAACUGGAUUGCUGGAGCGUGGGAGAGGUAAGCGGAAUUCCUGGUGUAGCGGUGAAAUGCGUAGAUAUCAGGAGGAACACCUGUGGUGUAGACGGCUUUCUGGACCAUAGCUGACGCUGAGACACGAAAGCGUGGGUAGCAAACAGGAUUAGAUACCCCUGGUAGUCCACGCCCUAAACGAUGCAUACUUGGUGUCGGCCAUUCNAGUUGGUCANGUGCCGGAGCUAACGCGUU
rnacentral:rRNA from 1 species